rnacentral:rRNA from 1 species
UACGUAGGGUGCAAGCGUUAAUCGGAAUUACUGGGCGUAAAGCGUGCGCAGGCGGCUUUGCAAGACAGAUGUGAAAUCCCCGGGCUUAACCUGGGAACUGCAUUGUGACUGCAUGGCUGGAGUGACGGCAGAGGGGGAUGGAAUUCCGGCGUGUAGCAGUGAAAUGCGUAGAUAUGCGGAGGAACACCGAUGGCGAAGGCAAUCCCCUGGGCCUGCACUGACGCUCAGUGCACGAAAGCGUGGGGAGCAAACAGG